UGCGGGGGGGGUAAGCGUUGUUCGGAAUUACUGGGCGUAAAGGGCUCGUAGGCGGCCAACUAAGUCAGACGUGAAAUCCCUCAGCUUAACUGGGGAACUGCGUCUGAUACUGGAUGGCUUGGAUUCGGGAGAGGAAUGCGGAAUUCCAGGUGUAGCGGUGAAAUGCGUAGAUAUCUGGAGGAACACCAAUAGCGAAGGCAGCUCGCUGGGACGGUACUGACGCUGAGGUGCGAAAGCGUGGGGAGCAAACAGG
rnacentral:rRNA from 1 species